rnacentral:rRNA from 1 species
AUUCCAGCUCCAAUAGCGUAUAUUAAAGUUGUUGCAGUUAAAAAGCUCGUAGUUGGAUUUCAGUCUUAGUUCGUCUGGCCCGCUCCCUUGAGGAGCCGAGUGCCGGUUGCGAGCUGGACUUCCUUCUAGCAUGGAACCUCUACCGUUAUGCGGCCGGGGGGGACAUCUGGAUCAUUUACUUUGAAGAAAUUAGAGUGUUCAAAGCAAGCUUACGCUGUGAAUAUAUUAGCAUGGAAUAAUAACAUAGGACUCGGGUUCUAUUUUGUUGGUUUCUAGGACUCAAGUAAUGAUUGAUAGGGACAGUUGGGGGUGCUGCUAUUAUAUGGCCAGAGGUGAAAUUCACGGAUUCAUAUAAGAGCAACUUAUGCGAAAGCAUUCACCAAGGAUGUCUUCAUCG